rnacentral:rRNA from 1 species
UACGAAGGGGGCUAGCGUUGUUCGGAUUUACUGGGCGUAAAGGGCGCGUAGGCGGCGUGUUAAGUCAGCUGUGAAAUCUCCAAGCUUAACUUGGAACGGUCAGCUGAUACUGAUGUGCUAGAGUGCAGAAGGGGCAAUCGGAAUUCCCAGUGUAGCGGUGAAAUGCGUAGAUAUUGGGAGGAACACCAGUGGCGAAGGCGGCUACCUGGACCGGUUCUGACGCUGAGGCGCGAAAGCGUGGGUAGCAAACAGG